rnacentral:rRNA from 1 species
GAGUUUGAUCCUGGCUCAGAUUGAACGCUGGCGGCAUGCCUUACACAUGCAAGUCGAACGGCAGCACGGGAGCUUGCUCCUGGUGGCGAGUGGCGAACGGGUGAGUAAUGCAUCGGAACGUAUCCUGGAGUGGGGGAUAACGUAGCGAAAGUUACGCUAAUACCGCAUAUUCUGUGAGCAGGAAAGCGGGGGACCUUCGGGCCUCGCGCUCUUGGAGCGGCCGAUGUCGGAUUAGCUAGUUGGUGAGGUAAAGGCUCACCAAGGCGACGAUCCGUAGCAGGUCUGAGAGGACGAUCUGCCACACUGGAACUGAGACACGGUCCAGACUCCUACGGGAGGCAGCAGUGGGGAAUUUUGGACAAUGGGGGCAACCCUGAUCCAGCCAUGCCGCGUGAGUGAAGAAGGCCUUCGGUUGUAAGACGUCUUCGUCGAGGGAGAAAGUUAGACACCGGACGAAUAACCUGGU